CGCGGACGCUGUUGCCUCCUUCAGGGGACCCUGGACCUGCUGGAGCUGGAACAUUUUGUUUCACUGAAAUACUAUGCAACUUUAAAAAAAAAGUGUACUCUGGUAAAAGAUGAAGUAUGUGAAGAUGAGCUGGGUGACAGGAGGCCUUGUGAGCUAGAGCCAGGUAAUGAGCCAGGUUGGUGUGGACUCUCUGGCUAAACAUUUCUUGAUCAUUAAUUCUGACUCCUCUCUUCACAGUGAGUUGAAAUAAAGGAAAAUGGCU